rnacentral:tRNA from 1 species
UUGGGCCCAUACCCCAACAAUGAGGGGCUAAUCCUUCCUCUCCUAACCA